rnacentral:rRNA from 1 species
GGACGAACGCUGGCGGCGUGCUUAACACAUGCAAGUCGAACGAUGAAGCUGGAGCUUGCUCUGGUGGAUUAGUGGCGAACGGGUGAGUAACACGUGGGUAACCUGCCUUAUAGACUGGGAUAAGCGUCCGAAACGACGAUUAAUACCGGAUACGAGCUUCAGCCGCAUGGCUAGGAGCUGGAAAGAAAUCCGGUCAAGGAUGGACUCGCGGCCUAUCAGCUUGUUGGUGAGGUAACGGCUCACCAAGGCGACGAUGCGUAGCCGGCCUGAGAGGGUGAUCGGCCACACUGGGACUGAGACACGGCCCAGACUCCUACGGGAGGCAGCAGUGGGGAAUAUUGCACAAUGGGGGAAAGCCUGAUGCAGCAACGCCGCGUGAGUGAUGACGGCCUUCGGGUUGUAAAGCUCUGUCUUCAGGGACGAUAAUGACGGUACCUGAGGAGGAAGCCACGGCUAACUAC